CUUCCUUUUAUAAAGGCAAAAUAGCAACAAGAAACCCCAAACAUUGCAAAACAUUUUAAAUGGCCAAGUAUCGUCUUAAAUGCAAGAGGUCAACUAAAGACAUGGGCUACUGUCCAAGAACAAACUAAAUUUGGAAUAUAGGAGGGACCUUUCAGAAAGUCUUUCCCGGGAGCCUGAAAUUUAAAGUCCUGUUGUGGCUGAAUGUGUUUCCUUUAACUAGCAAGUCUCUGGAAUAUAUAGAACUGUCCUCUAUUUGCUGGAGAAGGGUGACAUGAUUAAAAUGAGCCCCAAGAAUGCUGAAUCAACUUUAGGAAGUGGCGGAAAUCUUCCCUGGAGUCAGCCACAUUGAAACCAAGGACCUGUAUCAUGGCCAGCCCCCUGUGGAACUCAAGUGCCUUCCUGUGCUCCAGUUGCCUCUGUCUGGGGCAAGCUCAGAUGAUAAAUCCUCUGAGGUCCACCUUCUCCUCUACUACUGCCUGACUAGCCGAGAAUACAAAGGUCAGUGCCGAGAUGGCUGUGACAAGUCUGCACAUCUAGACCCCUGUGCCUAGUGAGAAGCUGAGCCUUAUUCCAAGACCAAUGGGACACCACUGGAUCCUUUAAGCCGAAGUUGACAUGCUCUGAUUUAUGUUUUAGAGUCACUCAGGUUCUUUUGCAGAGAACUGAUCAUUGAAGGACAAGAAUGGA